UUGAAAAAAAAAAUCCUUACAAAUAGGAUGAUGGUCCUUUUAUUACUUUCACCAUCUGAAGCUAUACUAAUGAAAUGAGCUCAAAAAUUGUGAAAAAAUGACUCCAGGCAAAAAUGAGGUACAAAAUUAAAGGCAUUGUUGCUGGUAGAUAAUAUCAUUCUGUUCAGAAACAAAUCCAAACAGCAGAGAUAUUGGAACAACAGUGAUACUUCGUAUGACAAAAAUAACUAACAUAACGGAAACACCUCAUUCAUGGAAAUAUGAAACCUGUGCCACAUAGUUAUUAAAAUAAAGUAAAUUAAGUAGGAACACCAUGUAAAAUAUAA